UACGUAGGUGGCGAGCGUUGUCCGGAUUUACUGGGCGUAAAGCGCGCGCAGGCGGUGACGUAAGUCGCGUGUGAAAUCUCCCGGCUCACCCGGGAGGGGGCGCGCGAGACUGCGCCACUGGAGGUGGGCAGAGGCCGGUGGAAUUCCCGGUGUAGCGGUGAAAUGCGCAGAUAUCGGGAAGAACACCCGUGGCAAAGGCGGCUCUCUGGGACGGUACUGACGCUGAGACGCGAAAGCGUGGGGAGCGAACAGG
rnacentral:rRNA from 1 species